rnacentral:piRNA from 1 species
UAGAAGAUUGUAGAUGGUCGCAGGGUAUGU